rnacentral:rRNA from 1 species
AGUGGCGGACGGGUGAGUAACGCGUAGGAAUCUGCCUUAUAGUGGGGGACAACGUGGGGAAACCCACGCUAAUACCGCAUACGCCCCACGGGGGAAAGCGGGGGUCUUCGGACCUCGCGCUAUUGGAUGAGCCUGCGUUGGAUUAGCUUGUUGGUGGGGUAAAGGCCUACCAAGGCGACGAUCUAUAGCUGUUCUGAGAGGAAGAUCAGCCACACUGGGACUGAGACACGGCCCAGACUCC